rnacentral:lncRNA from 1 species
GAACCGUAAACAAAUUAUCACAAAUGGAGAGAGAAUUGCAUUCCUGUUUGUUGAUGACUCCUAAAGGGCUCAUUGGUAGUACAUCCGAAGGUUCUCGGAGUUCCAGCUUCGAGGGAUAGGAGUCCCCUCGAGGGUUCCCAACUUGUAAGCUCCGGGUCGCUGAACUCGCGUGACUCGGUAUGGUCCUUCCCAGUUCGGGGCUAGCUUCCCCUGUUCGGCGGGUUGAGAAG